rnacentral:rRNA from 1 species
UACGUAGGGGGCAAGCGUUGUCCGGAAUUAUUGGGCGUAAAGAGCGUGUAGGCGGUCCGGUAAGUCAGCUGUGAAAGUCAAGGGCUCAACCCUUGAAAGCCGGUUGAUACUGUCGGGCUAGAGUCCGGAAAGAGGCGAGUGGAAUUCCCGGUGUAGCGGUGAAAUGCGCAGAUAUCGGGAGGAACACCAAUGGCGAAGGCAGCUCGCUGGGACGGUACUGACGCUGAGACGCGAAAGCGUGGGGAGCAAACAGG